AACCAUUCUCACCUGCGGCUAGACCUGCGGAGGGAUCAUUACCGAGUUUACAACUCCCAAACCCCUGUGAACAUACCUAUACGUUGCCUCGGCGGAUCAGCCCGCGCCCUGUAAAAAGGGACGGCCCGCCCGAGGACCCCUAAACUCUGUUUUUAGUGGAACUUCUGAGUAAAACAAACAAAUAAAUCAAAACUUUUAACAAUGGAUCU
rnacentral:misc_RNA from 1 species